rnacentral:rRNA from 1 species
GGUUAAGUUAGAAAGGGCGCACGGUGGAUGCCUUGGCACUAGGAGCCGAAGAAGGACGGGACUAACACCGAUAUGCUUUGGGGAGCUGUACGUAAGCGUUGAUCCAGAGAUUUCCGAAUGGGGGAACCCACUAUCUUUAGUCGGAUAGUAUCCUUACGUGAAUACAUAGCGUGAGGAAGGCAGACCCAGGGAACUGAAACAUCUAAGUACCUGGAGGAAGAGAAAGAAAAAUCGAUUUCCUGAGUAGCGGCGAGCGAAACGGAAAGAGCCCAAACCAAGAAGCUUGCUUCUUGGGGUUGUAGGACACUCUAUACGGAGUUACAAAAGAAAGUUAUAAAUGAAGCGGUCUGGAAAGGCCCGCCAAAGACGGUAACAGCCCGGUAGUUGAAAUAGCUUUCCCUCCAGAGUGGAUCCUGAGUACGGCGGAACACGUGAAAUUCCGUCGGAAUCCGGGAGGACCAUCUCCCAAGGCUAAAUACUCCCUAGUGACCGAUAGUGAACCAGUACCGUGAGGGAAAGGUGAAAAGCACCCCGGAAGGGGAGUGAAACAGUUCCUGAAACCGUGUGCCUACAAGUAGUUAGAGCCCGUUAAUGGGUGAUAGCGUGCCUUUUGUAGAAUGAACCGGCGAGUUACGAUUUGUUGCAAGGUUAAGCGGAAAAAGCGGAGCCGUAGCGAAAGCGAGUCUGAAUAGGGCGCAUAAGUAACAGGUCGUAGACCCGAAACCAGGUGAUCUACCCAUGUCCAGGAUGAAGGUAAGGUAAUACUUACUGGAGGUCCGAACCCACGCACGUUGAAAAGUGCGGGGAUGAGGUGUGGGUAGCGGAGAAAUUCCAAUCGAACUUGGAGAUAGCUGGUUCUCUCCGAAAUAGCUUUAGGGCUAGCCUCGAGGUAAAGAGUCAUGGAGGUAGAGCACUGUUUGGACUAGGGGCCCUUCUCGGGUUACCGAAUUCAGAUAAACUCCGAAUGCCAUGUACUUAUACUCGGGAGUCAGACUGCGAGUGAUAAGAUCCGUAGUCGAAAGGGAAACAGCCCAGACCACCAGUUAAGGUCCCCAAAUAUAUGUUAAGUGGAAAAGGAUGUGGGGUUGCUUAGACAACCAGGAUGUUGGCUUAGAAGCAGCCACCAUUGAAAGAGUGCGUAAUAGCUCACUGGUCGAGUGACCCCGCGCCGAAAAUGUACCGGGGCUAAACAUAUUACCGAAACUGUGGAUGAACCUCUUUAGAGGUUCGUGGUAGGAGAGCGUUCUAAGGGCGGUGAAGUCAGACCGGAAGGACUGGUGGAGCGCUUAGAAGUGAGAAUGCCGGUAUGAGUAGCGAAAGAAGGGUGAGAAUCCCUUCCACCGAAUAUCUAAGGUUUCCUGAGGAAGGCUCGUCCGCUCAGGGUUAGUCGGGACCUAAGCCGAGGCCGAUAGGCGUAGGCGAUGGACAACAGGUAGAGAUUCCUGUACCAGUGCUAAUUGUUUAACCGAUGGGGUGACACAGAAGGAUAGGGAAUCGCACGAAUGGAAAUGUGCGUCCAAGCAGUGAGUGUGAGAAGUAGGCAAAUCCGCUUCUCGCGAAGCAUGAGCUGUGAUGGGGAAGGAAAUUAAGUACGGAAGUUCCUGAUUUCACGCUGUCAAGAAAAGCCUCUAGGAAGAGUAGUACUGCCCGUACCGCAAACCGACACAGGUAGAUGAGGAGAGAAUCCUAAGGUGAGCGAGAGAACUCUCGUUAAGGAACUCGGCAAAAUGACCCCGUAACUUCGGGAGAAGGGGUGCUCUAUUAGGGUGCAAGCCCGAGAGAGCCGCAGUGAAUAGGCCCAGGCGACUGUUUAGCAAAAACACAGGUCUCUGCAAAACCGUAAGGUGACGUA